AUACAAAAAAGAACGACAUAACUAGUAACUACAAGAUAUAAAAAAGAACGAAAUAAUUACAACAUGAUUAAAAGCAGAAGAAUAAAUUUAGUGUCCCUUUCUUCUCUUAUUUUGUUUUUUUUUUCUGGUGAAAGUGGUGUUUUUUUUACAACCAAUUUAUUGUUACUGCUUAUUGUUGUUUGAUUUUUAUCUUUAAUAGGUCCAAAGUUGAAAAAACUAAUGAAAAUUGCUUCUUUUUGUUUUUCUGUCAGGUUUAUCCAAUCAGUAAUUGAGUGUUGGAAUUUUCGAAACUCUCCAAAGAGCACGUACUGACCCAUGCCGGUAAAACUGCGCUCAAUAUCCAGGAAUCCUGUUUGGAACAAUUUACAUCUUGUACAAAAGGAUGAGUGGUCAGCAUGUUAAUAACUUUAAGCUUGUGAAGUCUUUAUAUAAAUGGGAACACCGGAUGACGAUCCUGAAAGUUGGCAGUUUCCAUGCUGUUCGUUCGCUGGAAAUUUUCCGCAAUACUCGUAUCGAUAUGGCUGCCAAAUUUAAAACUGUUGAAUUUUCAAUCCAGGUGAUUCUUCUGCAGUAUAAAAGGUCUCCUUUACUUUUGCAAAAGUAGCGCCCGAGGAUGGUGGCUGUGUUUGUU